CUUUAGGUCUGUUAUUUAUAUAAUACAUCCAUUUUAUGAUGGAAUGCUGUUGUUCACACCCAAAUGUAUAGCAUCGUGGGUCAAAUAACUUCAGUUCAUGGUACUAACAUGAAUUGGAUCUGCUGUGAUAUAUGAACCAAAUGUCAAAGCAACUUUUCAGAGCCUGAGUCUGAUGAAAAACUUCUCUAACUGUGUGAUCCUCUCAGAACUUCUGGAUAUACAGGUUGCUGGAAGUCUCACUGCUGGCAACUGAAGACCAGACCUCUACUCUGCAACUACUUAAGGACAUAGAAGGUGCUGCCUUGAAUGUGAAGAUCCAUCUCUACCUCUCAAGACUUCAAACCCAUUGAUGGAAAAGAAAGACUGGAUCCCUAUUCAUCAAAGGUGAUUUAGCUGCUGCCUUUCCUGAAGAUCCAACAGGUCAACAGUGACUGCAGAUAAGUCACCACCUCUUCCAGAGACAAAUCAAGCAUUUGGUGACAGCAAAUCUAUUUGACAUUUUUCAUUCUGGAAUGGACAGUGUCUUGACUGGAAAUGAUACAUAUUUGUGGAAGGAUAUGCCUUUCUUACUUCCUUGGUCAGCACCAUUAUUUGAGGGUUUAUAUUUUUUGACCUACUGAUAGUCUUUGAUAUAGAACAUUGCUUACAGUCAUCUCAGGCCAGGAUCAUCUCAGGAUCCUGUCUAUAGCAAAGGAGACACAACCUGUGAAACACGAUCAUAGUUCUAUCACAGAACAUACUACUCAGAAACUGUUGGCCUGAUGGAGCAGUGGUCUGUCUAAAAUCCAAUUUUUAAAUGUUUUUCAUAUAUAAAUGGAGUAGAAUUCUUCAUUUUCCUGGUUGUAUAUGAUGUAGAAUCCCAUGGUCAUGUAGUCAUAUAUAUACAUAGGAUAAUAAUGUCUGUUUCAUUCUACAAUUCUUUAUACCCCAUACUUCCUAUCCUCCCUUCACUAUCCUCUACCUAAUCUAAAGUAACAGUAUUCUUCCCUAGUACUGCCCCUUCCACUGUUAUUGUGAGUUAACAUCCACAGAAUAGCAGUUAUCAAGACUACAAGCAACAUUAAAUGUUGGCGAGGUUGUGGGGGAAAAAGGCACACUCAUAAAUUGCUGGUGGGACUGAAAACUGAUGCAACCAUUAUGGAAAGCGGUAUGGAGAUUACUCAGAA